GUCAGCUAUGUGGACUCUAGCUGCCAAAGGCGCUUCUCCUUCUGAACAGAGCGCUUUGCUCAGCCAGUGUAGACAUGGCCUGAU
ensembl:miRNA